GCCUCUAUAGCUCAGUGGUAGAGCGCUUGACGUACGUAACCAAUUACAUUAUUAUUAUUGAAUUUACCCGCUAACAAUUAAACAGUUGUAUUCUCUGAUAUCAAGAGGUCCGUGGUUCAAUCCCGCGUGGAGGCA
rfam:Aspergillus wentii DTO 134E9 unplaced genomic scaffold ASPWEscaffold_8, whole genome shotgun sequence.